ACAAGUGAAGGGCUUAAACCAAACCCAGAGAAAGUUAAGGUUAUUAAAGAAUUAGAAAUUCCAAAAACUGAAAGACAAAUAAAGAGUUUUCUAGGACUUACAGGCUAUUACCGAAAAUUUGUUAGGGACUACGCUAAGGUAGCACAACCGAUAACGAAAUAUUUGAAAAAGGGUGUAAAGAUAAAUAUUAAAGACCCAACAUACAUAGAAGCAUUCGAAAAAUUGAAAACCCUAAUUAUAUCACAUCCAAUUCUUAGAUAUCCGAAUUUUGAAAAGAAAUUUACUCUUACUAGGGAUACGUCCAAUUACGCAAUUGGUGCUGUCUUGUCACAAGAAGGGCAUCCAAUAUGUUUUGCAUCCACAACCUUAAAUAAUCAUGAGAGAAACUAUUCAGCAACAGAUAAAGAAUUUUUAGCCAUAUUAUGUAGUGUUAAUUAUUUAAGACCUUAUCUUUAUGGGAGAAAAUUUAAAAUUCUGACCGAUCAUCAACCAAUUAAGUUUUUACAUUCAAAAUAUAAAGUAAAAGAUAUGUCUCCAAGACAUCAAAGAUGGAUUCUGAAAUUAGGUGAAUAUGAUUUUGAAAUAGAGUACAUAAAAGGAAAGGAGAACAGAGUAGCAGACUUUUUAAGUAGAAUAGAAAAUAUUGAUGGAGAAAAUCAAGAUAAGAAAAACAUUCCGGAGGAAGGAGACAAUGAAUCAGAUUUAAACAUAAACAAUAUAGAAGAUGACAAUGUAUCUAUGGUAACAGUUCAUUCAGCAGAAGAAAAUUUGCAGGAUCAUUUUUAUAUUAAAGAGGAAAUAGUUAAUAAAUAUAGGACAUAAGUUAUAUUAACAAAUAACAAGAUUGAGGAAAUGAAAAUUUUACAUGGCAAAAGAAUUAUUUUUAUAGCAGAGGCAGAUUUUAAUGGAUUAGGAGAAAUAUUUAGAAAAUAUAUUACAAAAGGGAAAAUAGGAAUAUUUUCGGAGUUGUCAGAACAUAGUUAUAAUACAGUUCAGGAAAAACUAAUAGAAAUGUUCUCUAACGAUAAACAAAUAGAAUUUAUUAAAUGCACUAUGCGGGCACAGGAUAUAGAAACCGAAGUGGAGGCAAUUAAACAAAUAUCUCUCUACCAUAUUAGGGAAAGUAUACACUCAGGCAUAAUAGAAACAUAUAAUCAGAUUAAGAACAAAAUAUAUUAUCCAAAACUAAUGGAAUUAAUUCAGCUGGUAAUUAAUCAGUGUGAAAUUUGUCAGGAAGUAAAGUAUGAUAAGCGACCAAUUACCAAAAUUUUCCAUUACAGAAACACCUUCGGAAGAGAACAAGAUAAUACAUACAGAUACUUAUGUUAUGAAGGGAAAUCAUUUUUUAACGGUAAUUGAUAAAUUCUCAAAAUUUGGAGCGGCCUACCCGCUCAACGAUAGAAACCACGUAACAAUUAUCGAACAGUUAGAAGAUCACUUCGCUAAAAUGGGAAAACCUGGAAAGAUAGUGGCAGACAAUGAAUUUAAAACCGCAAGAAUGAAGGAAUUCUUAGACAAUGAAAAUAUAGAACUUCACCUAACAAAACCCAACAGUCACACGGGCAAUGCAGAUAUUGAGAGAUUUCAUAAUACGAUAGCAGACAAAUUUAGAAUUUUAUACAAAUUAGAAAAAGGGUUGUCAGUCAAACAAUUAAUACAGAAAGCCAUUCGAAAUUAUAAUGAUAGAUUUCACUCAGCGACGAAAUUUACACCAAACGAAGUACAUAAUAGAAAAGUGGAUCUUGAAGUAGUGAAAAAGAAUUUAGAAACAAAGAAACACAAAAUAAUAGAUAAACUAAAUAAAAAUAGAGAGAAUUAUAAGGAAAAUCGAACAGAAGGAUUUAUAAAAAACUAUAAAGCGGUUAGGUUAUACGGACAUAUAUAUGCGUGACCAGGAAAUAGUUCAAUAUUCAGACGUAGUUUUACACAUGAUUAAUCUUAACGAAGUAAAGGAAAUUUUAGACCAACUAACGGACAACAUAAUUUUAAUGGACAUGGAUAAUAAAGAUAUACUUGAAUUAGAACUAUUAGAUGCCAGAAAUAAAUUAAAGACUUUAAUACCGAAACAAAGUAGACAAAGACGUGGACUUAUUAACGGAAUUGGAAGCAUGUCAAAAUGGUUAUUUGGCACUAUGGACGAAGAGGACAGACAGAAUAUACAAAAGCACUUACUAAACAUUGACGAACUUACAGAAAACAAUGACCAACAAAUAUCAAUUAAUGAUUAUUUUAAUGUUACUUUAGAACACUUAAAAAUUGUAAUAUCAAAUUAUAGAAAGAAAAUAGAAAAAGAAUUAAAUUCAAUUAACAAAUUUCUGGAAAAAGAAAAUAAUAAAAAUAUAUAUUUAGAACAAUUGACAAAUGUACAAUUAAUAAAAAAUAAAAUAGAACAUUUACAAGAUAAUGUAAUUUCAGCAAAAUAUGGUAUUGUUCACCCAAGUAUUUUAACUAGCAAUGAAAUAAGAAAAUAUGAAAUUGAUUAUAACAAAUUAAAAUAUAUCCAAUUUGGAACAGCGUUUUUUAACAAUUCUUAUCUUAUUUUUGGAAUAAAAAUACCCAAAACAUUUAUAACAGUUAAGUUAAGAUUUAUUGUACCAUUACCAAAUAUUGUAUUUAAUGAAAUAGAUUCAAACGUAGAAAAAAUUUUUGAAUUCCAAAAUAACACUUAUAAAUUUGAAGAAAAUAAACAUUUAAAAGAUUUAAAACUAAGUAAUAAUUGUAUAAUAAAGAAUAAUUGUCAAUUAAUGGAAAAUAGAGAUUUGGAAAUUUUACAGUUAGAUAUAGAUACAAUUUUAAUUAAAAAUGCAAUAAAUACUACCAUAAAUCAAACUUGUAAUCAUGGAGAAAAUAUUUUAAAUGGAAAUUACCUAAUCAAUUUCAAUAACUGUUCAAUCAAAAUAAAAGAUUAUUAUUUCUCAAAUAUUGUAGAAACUAUAGAAGAAAAACAAGUAAUGGAAUAUACAAAUAAAACUCAAAAUUUUACACAUAAAAUUUCAUUUGAAGAAAUUAAAAAAGAACACCUAUAUAAUGUAAAAAAUAUUAAAGAAUUAAAAUAUCACACAAAAAUAGCAUACAGCUGCAAUAUUUUAAUUAUAAUUGUAAUAAUUGUCAUCAUUAAUAUUUUUUUAUCAAGCAUAAAUACAUAACUAUAAAAUUAAACAAAAGAAUUCAGGAGAAUUCUUAUCUAAAGAGGGGAGUAGUUACAUAUGUGGACAAAAACACACAUAAAGUCGACGAACUUACAACCGGAAUAAAUGCUGCGUCAAUUCCAGACAAGUUCGACGACUUCUUAAAUAAAAUAGGGCAAACUAAACAAAUAAAUUGAAUUCUUGAUAAAUUGCAAAUCUGCAAUAAAUGUAUUAAUUAUGACAAUUAAAUUAAUAAA